GAGACGCUGCGCGGCGGCAGCGGCGGGCGCGAGCGGCAGCUGUCAGGCCACCGAGGUCCAAGCCGCACUUGCUGCCCCAUUGAGGACGAGGAGGCAGCAGGAGCAGUGACGGUGACUCUAAGGAGCCGGAUUCCCGGCACGCAGAGCUGACCUGCCUGGCACCCGCGGCCCUCUCCUGUUUCCUUCCCAUUGUGUUGGAUAAGCCAGCUGCAGAAUAUAUCCUGAGGUACCUGCUUUAUGGAAUUAUUCACACUAUUCACCAACAGGAAGAAUAAAGUCAAUCAAUUCAAGGAGUCUCAGAACAGGAGCACAUAGACACCAAACUUUGUGGGACAACAAAUAUAAUGAAGAGUAUGUUUGCGUCUUUCAAACAAAGCCACGUGAAGUCAAGGCCCUUAACACCCACCCCUCCCACAUACUGAGGGGAGAAUUCAGAUGCCCACUGGAGUCAGCCGAUCAGACUGCCUUUUGCACACUCCUUGCCUCCACUCCAGUUUACCGUGGAAGACCUGUCUGCUAUGGCUGAAUCUGAGAGAGAUCCUUGAGUAACGAAUUAAGGAAUGAACAAAUGUUGCUCUGGACAAAGCUGCAGCUUCCACGUCCUGCAUAACUGCACUCAGUACUGACCCUGAAGAUAGGAAAAGCAAUACAACUGGUGCUAGAAAUGUUAUGAGAAUGACUUGGAUGAGCUGAAAAAUGAAUGAUCUCCUUGAACAAGCUGUUUUGCAGAUGGACAGAAGGUUGGAGCCACAAACCUUGCCAGGGAAAGCAUUCCAUGGGAGAACACCUAAGUAAGACACAAAAAGCAAGCAGGGCUUGCCUGGAAUUUCGCUUUGCUGCAGAGACAUCUGGAAAUGUGGAUUGAGGGUGGAAAUAAAAUGAAGAUGUCCUGGAAACUUCCAACUGAUCCUUGGGUCUAAUUGGUGUGGGAUAUGCAGCACAAGCGUGAGAAGCCAUGAAGUGAGAGCCCCAACAGGGGCUCAGAGUCAAAAACCUAGAUAUUAGCUCCCAAAGUCCUUCCGAAUCUGCUCCAGCUCCCCACAUCACUCCUAGCUGCCCUUGGCCCUCUCCACCUUUCCCCUCCCGAUUCCUUGGAAAAUAAGCGUUCCUCCCCCACCCCC
rnacentral:lncRNA from 1 species